GUGGCUUCAUAGCUCAGUGGUUAGAGCACUGGUCUUGUAAACUAGGGGUCGUGAGUUCGAUCCUCACGGGACACG
rnacentral:tRNA from 1 species